CCCGUGUUUCACAAUAACGGGGUCCUUCAGUUGCAGUCCCGGCUCGGCACCCCGCUCUUUCCGUGUGUCAGGACACUGAAGAUGAGCCACAGCUGCUGCUCUGCACUCGUGAACACAUGACAUGGACAGGUUUGAAAGUGUUCUCAGUACUUAAAACAUCCUCGUGGUGAGACACAGGUGGCCAAGAAAGCUGUUACAAAUUCACGAAUGCUUGAACUUAAACCGUCAGUUGUUUACAACUUGAAGCAUGGGCAAGCGUUAAAAAACAUUGGCUCAAGAGCACUGGGCAUCCUCUAGCAGGGCCCGGAGUACACUACGUACCUGCUAAAGGCCUCAAUGGAAGGGACGAGCUGCACCCAGCAUGGGGGGCCUAACGGGUAAGUCCUCGCCUUGCAUCUGCCAGGAUCCCCUCUGGGCGCUGGUUUGUGUCCUGGGUACUCCACUUCCCAUCCAGCUCCCUGCUUGUGGCCUGGGAAAGCAGUAGAGGAUGGCCUGAAGCCUUGGGACCC